CUACUUUACUUCUUCUUCUACUUCACCGAAGUUUUCUUCUUCCUCCUUCUCGAGUUUACACAGAGGUGUGGUGGUGGUGUUCAUCAAAUCAAUCAGUAAGAAAAGGGGCUACAGUAGCUAUUCGUUUUUUAUUCAUAAUCAAAAGAAGUGGUCUUUGUUCUACUAAAACUGCAAUAGUUAUUCUUUUUUGCUAAAGUCGCAGCAACAAUCGGUGAUUGAGACAAAACUUUUGGAAAAAAAAAUUGUUCUUGGAGUUAGCUGCAGGUUUGGAUUAGCGAAAAAGGUACACGAAUUCCUCUAAACCCCUUAUGAUAAUUAAAAUCUUUGAACAUAAAGUUCGGUUUUGAUGAAGUUUUUGGUUAGAUAUUCUGUGGUUGAUUUGGUGAGUGUUUGAGGUGAUUUGGUGAAUUCUGUGUUAUGUCUUAAAUUGAGAAUAUUUCAGUGUUUGCGAAUGAUUAAAUUUGAUGGGUUGGGUAAACAAAAAUUGCACUUUAAAUGUUUGAUGAAAAGCCUGAAAGUGGGAAAAUUUUCCUAUUACUUUCUUACAUGCCAUUUAAUAAUGGCAGCCAACAGAUUGGGUUUCAUGAAUUAUGGAGUGAUAAGCAUCAGAUUUACUAAUCUACAUGAAUGGUGAUGCUGUUUGGUCUUUGGUUAUUAGGGCUAAGAGUAAAAUCAAGUUUGGGUUUAUAGACAGAUAUGCAAAAAAUUGAAAAACUUAUUUGGAAUGGUGAUGAUUUUUAUAACUAAUUUAUCGAAAUAAGAUAGCAGAGGCUUGGACUCUUCACAACAUAGAAGGCAAAACUGGGAGGCAUUAUUGAUUUUUAUCUAGCACCUCAAAAUGUGGGGACAGAUCAAACCACAGUAACAUUAUUGGUACUUCUAACCUACUACAGCAAAUCAAUCUCACACUGAAAAAUAAGAGGAAAUAAUCUCAUUUGUCAUCUGUCUAUAAACAGCUCGGUAUAAGAAGCGCAGAUAAACGAACUCCAGAAAGAGAAAGGGCAAGAACAUUCCCUAACCCAUGAAGGUUUUUUCUGACAUGCAUUUUUAUGGAAUCAAACUGCCAUGUUGGUGUUCUUGGAAAAUCCUUAGCUUUGGGUCUCUUAUUCCUCUUCAAAGGGGAGAUGAUAUGUACAGAAAAAAUGUGGCCAGCAUUAUACUUGAGGACAAAAUAGCUAUUAGUGACUCAAUACUCUGUAUUAGCAUUGAGAUCUGUAGGUUUUUUUGGCUUUGAUUAUUACCUAGACGCUAUAAUGUGGAAGUAUGUUUUGGCUCCUCGCUUAUGCUAUUUACCUUUUUUUAGGUAGGAAUUCAAUUUUCAUAUUGAAGAGGGUUUGUUUUAAACCAUUCCACCAAUAUUUUUGUGCCGUGGUUACUAGGUACAGCUUAUUGUCUAAUCUGAUUAUCUAUAAUUUUCAUAUUUGUAAAGGAUGUGCAACAACUGGCAACUGUAUCGAUUGUUUCGUACUUGAUUUCAUAUGGUUUGGAUUUGGGAUAAGAAACUAGAGUUGUAGGCAAUAAUUUUUUGUUUGCUAUUUUAAUAGAUGUAUCGAGCUCAAUUGAAUGUACACAUUUUCUAUGUCACUGUUUUGGGGGUUUAUUAAUUUAACUCUCAACAGAUACUUUGGGUUGUUAUUUAAUCUAAUCCACCACCCAUUCUCUGCCAUCAUCACUUGGUGAUGGAAUUAUGGAGUGGUUAGCAGAGACGAUGGCAGUGGUUGAUUAUGGAGCUCGAGAGGAGGUUGUUGUGUUGGAUUGGUGGUAACCGACGAGAAGCAGGAAAUGACCAUGCUGCCAAUAUCAGCUAAGAUGAAGAUGUGUUUUAGCUCGAGUUAGAGAGAACAAAGAAGGGUGAUGUUGUUAAUGCUCGGUGAUGGAGUGGUGCUGAGGUGAUUGGUUGCUGAUAUAUAUCGAUGGUGAAAGAAGAUGGUGGUUAUCGAGUCUGUGAUGAUGAUCAUUUAUGGAGUUAUGGACUAAGAACAGGGAAAUUUAGGGAAGGAUUGUUGUCUGCGCAGUUGAUGGAGAAGAACUUGCCACUGUUUGAGCUGGGCUAUGGUUGGACUUGGUUAUUUAUUAACAAGGUUUACAAAAAAGUAAUAUGUAUAUCUAAUAUCCUUUGAAAUAAUGCUAUCAUCUCAUCUUUACAGAUUCGAAUAUAAGAAUGAAAGGUAUAGAAGUACAC